UAAAGAGUACGUAGGCGGUUUUUUAAGUCAGAGGUGAAAUCCCGGAGCUCAACUCCGGAACUGCCUUUGAAACUGGAAAGCUAGAAUCAUGGAGAGGUUAGUGGAAUUCCGAGUGUAGAGGUGAAAUUCGUAGAUACUCGGAAGAACACCAGUGGCGAAGGCGACUGACUGGACAUGUAUUGACGCUGAGGUACGAAAGCGUGGGGAGCAAACAGGAUUAGAUACCUUGGUAGUCCACGCCGUAAACGAUGAUAACUAGUUGUUCGGGCACAACGUGCUUGAGUGACGCAGCUAACGCAUUAAGUUAUCCGCCUGGGGAGUACGGUCGCAAGAUUAAAACUCAAUGGAAUUGACGGGGGCCUGCACAAGCGGUGGAGCAUGUGGUUUAAUUCGAAGCAACGCGCAGAACCUUACCAGCGUUUGACAUCCUUGUCGCGGAUUUCAGAGAUGAUUUCCUUCAGUUCGGCUGGACAAGUGACAGGUGCUGCAUGGCUGUCGUCAGCUCGUGUCGUGAGAUGUUGGGUUAAGUCCCGCAACGAGCGCAACCCUCAUCUUUAGUUGCCAUCAUUCAGUUGGGCACUCUAAAGAAACUGCCGGUGAUAAGCCGGAGGAAGGUGGGGAUGACGUCAAGUCCUCAUGGCCCUUACACGCUGGGCUACACACGUGCUACAAUGGCGGUGACAGUGGGCAGCAACCUCGCGAGGGGUAGCUAAUCUCCAAAAGCCGUCUCAGUUCGGAUUGUUCUCUGCAACUCGAGAGCAUGAAGGCGGAAUCGCUAGUAAUC
rnacentral:rRNA from 1 species